CCUGCUCAAUGUCAAGCUGGCCCUGGACAUCGAGAUCGCCACCUACAGGAAGCUGCUAGAGGGCGAGGAGAACCGAUCACCAUUCCCGUGCAGACCUUCUCCAACCUGCAGAUUCGAAAACCAGCCUGGACACCAAGUCUGUGUCAGAAGGCCACCUCAAGAGGAACAUCGUGGUGAAGACCGUGGAGAUGCGGGAUGGAGAGGUAAGGAGGGAUUU
rnacentral:lncRNA from 1 species